rnacentral:ribozyme from 14 species
UAGCGGCACGAUUGAUCGCGAGGAAGUGCAAAACAUCAUCGACAGCGGCGGCGGUGGCAAGGGCGCGAAGGGCGCGCGUGGCCGCCGCAACAGCAACAGCACGCCGAACGCGUUGCUCUCGAAGGACCGCUGGGGCGAGAUGGACUGGGACAAGGACGGCACUAUCACGUUCAAAGAGUUCCUGUGGGCACUGCUUGGCUGGGUUGGGAUGAACGACGA